UACGUAGGGGGCAAGCGUUGUCCGGAAUUAUUGGGCGUAAAGAGCGCGUAGGCGGUCCGAUAAGUCGGCUGUGAAAGUCAGGGGCUCAACCCUUGAAAGCCGGCCGAUACUGUCGGACUAGAGUCCGGAAGAGGCAAGUGGAAUUCCCGGUGUAGCGGUGAAAUGCGCAGAUAUCGGGAGGAACACCAAUGGCGAAGGCAGCUUGCUGGGCCUUUUCUGACGCUGAGGCACGAAAGCGUGGGGAGCGAACAGG
rnacentral:rRNA from 1 species